AAAUCAUGAUGAGGGCACCUCCUCAAUAGUUCUCCAAAUCGUUCCUAUACUUCAAAUAAAGAUUCUGACCCAUGUUACUGGAACUUUGAUAUCUUUGUUAUCAACUU